AAUUCUAUUUUGACACGGAAGUCGUCCUGUUGUACUCCACAGUGGACAUGGUGUGAAACUAAUAUUAUAAAUAUGUUCAAAAAAUUAAAAUUGUAUGUUUUUUAAGUCCAAAUAGAUAGGAAAUCACACGGAUAUGAUUUUAGGCAGUGAAUGCAAUCUUUGACUGACAGCUGCACCAGCCAAUUAGCCGUUACAACAGGUUGGUUGAUAAGCAGGCCAGGUAGCCAGAUGCAAACGCGCUUUUUCUGAACGGACGCUGACACGCCGGGAAGCGGUGGCGGCAGGGGACCUCGAGGGCCGACCAGAUGACACCAGCAACGGUGUAGGAGGCCUUCGGAUGCGAACUGCGCUUCUGCCCAAAAGCUGUGAGUCCCAGGCCGACAAACUGUUAGCUGCAGGCUGAGACGAACCUUGAAACCGUGUUUGCAGAAUAGACUGCUGCCUAAUCGGCGUGGCGGAAGGGACGGCGCUGGCGCUGCAGGGGACAAAGAUUGGACCAUGAUGACGGCCAUACCUGCAGGCACAUUUUAUAGAAAGGAGAAGUGAAGCAGAGAGGAUUCUGUACCGGAUAAUAGAGUGAGAUUCAGAUUUGGAGCUGUCAGAGGAGGAAAAGGAUGAGGAUGAGUAUCAGCCUGUGAUAGGAGAAGAUGGUGAUGAAGAGGGAGAGGAAGAAAAUGCAGGAGAAUCUGAUGAGACAGAGUCAGAGAGACCAGGAAAGUCAUUGUGCUCUGUGGGCCAGGACUAACUUUUAUGUUUUAUCUAGUUUCAGCCUGUUGUAUACAAUCUUACUGUCAUUUUUAGAGUUUUGGAAUAUUUGUACUAUGCGUAACUGCUGUUAAAUAUAUGCAAGUUGCCUAUAUGCUCACGAUUUUGGUCAAUAGGGAGUCAUAUCACAUCCAUGACAAUGAAAUUACUGCAUUAAUCCAAAUUGAUGUGUAAAAAAUGAACUGUUGUUCCUUUUAUUAACUUGAAUUUAUCCAUCCAUGCAUUUUCUAGGGGACCUCGUAGGGGACCUCGAGGGCCGACCAGAUGACACCAGCAACGGUGUAGGAGGCCUUUGGAUGCGAACUGCGCUUCUGCCCAAAAGCUGUGAGUCCCAGGCCGACAAACUGUUAGCUGCAGGCUGAGACGAACCUUGAAACCGUGUUUGCAGAAUAGACUGCUGCCUAAUCGGCGUGGCGGAAGGGACGGCGCUGGCGCUGCAGGGGACAAAGAUUGGACCAUGGUCGUGAGCUUUUGGACUGUUUAAUUUUAGCACUGUUUUUAAUUCUGCUCUGAAAAAGAGAUACCCAUUUAAAGGUGGAAUUUGGUGGUUUGUGGUAGAUAUGUGGGAACUGCAAGUAAAUAAAAGAGAAAACAACCACCGCCGCCC